rnacentral:lncRNA from 1 species
AUAAGCAAUAUUAACAUAAAACAAAAGUGAUUAAUUUAUAAAAUGGAUCUUGUACAGCGCACAGUUGGAGAUUCUGGUAGGAUCCUGGCGAUUACAAAAGCAGGACGGAGUCUAUCUUUGGAGACAUAGUCGACUUUGGCGUCCAAGUCCAAUUUAAAAUAAAGAUUGUAUUUUCGCAGGAUUUUAAAAGGACCCAAGAAGGUUGGAGAAAGAGAUUCUCCGAUUGGCUUAUUUUUAACAAAAACGAAGUCAGCCUUGCUCCGACGAUUGUUGAACGUUUCUCUCUGGGUUACUCGUUGGGGAACGUGAGCCCUUCUCCAUCUUCUCGAAAAAGUACCCCACAUCGGCAUCUGCCUUAUGAAUAGGAAACAAAUCAAAGGAGUUUGAAGCCAACGAUCCAGAGCGACCAUUAAGUAACUGGAAGGGCGAAUAUUUAGAUCUAUGAUCCAUUGUAUCCACGGAACUAGCGGAGUUAUUAGGAUCUGUGGAACCGUUCAAUAAGCCUGUUUGAUUCAGGAUGAUAUGAUGUGGUCGUCUUAUUUGCGAUUCCAAGUGCCCUGCAAACACACGUCCGAAUAGCACUUUUGAAUUGAAUCCCCCUGUCUGAAACAAUGAUGUCAGGUACUCCAAAUCUUGAUAUCCAAGAAAGCUCCAGCCACUGUAGUAGAGGUGAUAUUUGGAAUUGGGAUUACUUCUGGCCACCUCGUUUACAGAUCCAUUAUAGUCAGGGCAUAGCGCUGUCCUUUGACGAGUGUAAACAAGCCAAUUAUAUCAAUGUGGAUAAAGGCAAGUCUCGCUGAUGAUGGAUCGAAAGAGGAAGUGGGGUUGGACGUUCUAAAAGGCUUCGCUAAGCGUAUAAAAGUGAUACCCUUCUUAAAGUCUCGUUGAAUCCCAAAUGAUUAUUUUUGUGGCUUGAAUGAAUAAUUCGUCGGCGAAGUUCUGGAGACACUACGACAAGAAAUAAGUCUUCGUUGCCGAAGCCUUUAAGUAAAGUUCCUGAAAAACACUUGACAUAAGGUUUAACUUUAAAAUUUAGUGUCAUGGAGUCUUUGAUCUUCAAUGACAUCUUGAAGAAAAUUGGGACUUAAUUUGAUAGUGUUGUCAUUUUUGGAAAGAAUAUCCGCGGUGUGCUUUAAUUUACCUAAAACAUGCUCAAUCCUACAAUUAAACUCUGCUACAUAUGCAAAUGUACGGAAUUGUCUUGGAGUCCAGGAGGGACUGUAGAAGUAUAUCGCCGACACUAAAGGCGUAUGAUCUGUGGUUACCCUAAAAUUUUGUCCAUCUAAUGCCUACAGAAAAUAUUUAAUGCUUUCUUUACUACUAAGUAAUUCCCUAUCAAAAGUUGAAUAUUUCUUUUGCGUUUAAGAUAAGGCUUUAGACCAACAUGAUAGUUGUCACCAGCGCCCAUUCACUUUCUGUUCCAGAACGGCUCACAUUCCAGUAUCAGACACAUCGGUCGUAAUGGCUAAAGGUAAAUAAUUGUCCUGGGAUGAAAGUUGAGUAAUUGAGGAUAAACUGUGUUUUACACCUUGAAAAGCUCUUUCACAUUCAUCAUUCCAUAUGAAUUUAAUUUUUUUUCUUUAAAACUGGAUAUAACAUCACUAUCUAUUUUGUCCAAUUUUUGAUGAAUUGUGAAUAGUUUUGGGCCAUGCCUUCAAAUUUCUGUAAAUCAUCUUUUGAUUUUGGAGAUAAAAUUCUUGCAAUAGCUUCAACUUUCGAUUUAAGAGGCUUAAAACCCUCUGGUGAAAUAGAAUUUCCAAGGAACUCAAAUGAAUUCCUGAAAAACUAGCAUAUUUCAAGAGAAAGUACCAAGCCGGAAGUUUUAAGCUGCAACAAAACUGUAAUUUUGGACUGCCAAUGUUCAUCCGUUGUCCGAGAAACAAUCAAUUUAUCAUCAACAUUCACGAAAACAUUUUUAAUUCCCCUCAAAACAGAAUCGAUGAGUCGUUGGAAUGUUUAGGGAGCGUUUUUAAGCCCUAAUGGCAUUCUUAAAUACUCAUACAUCCCAAAUGGCGUAAUGAUAGCUGUUUUACUGAUGGAAUCUUCACUCAUGGGUUUGCCACCAAAUCUUUUAAAUUUGAAAAAGGAUAUCGAUCUAGAUCCCUCAUGUUAUUUAAUUGACGAUAAUCACCACACAUUCGUCAGUCUCCUUUGGUUUUAGGUACUACAUGAAUCGCUGAUGAUAAAUUUGAAGAUGGACGAAUUUCGUUUAAAAAAAAAUUUCACACCAUCCAACUUCGGGAUUUAGCAAAGCAGGGAGGCCCUUAGUUUCGAUGUGAUGUACAACUCCAUGAUCUGAGUAAGAUUGAGUGAUUUUUUAUGAUCGAAAACUUCAGUGUAUUGAGAUUGAACCCAUUGGGCUUCUGAUAACUAUGAAAUGGCGCAUAGAUGAUUAUAAUAUAUUUUCUUGUUGAAUAGGUCAAUUUUAAUCUUGUUAAAAUGAAAAAAAUCUGCCCUUCUGCAUACGAUGAUAAAAUUUACAUAGGAAAGUUCCUUGAUUUUCUAUUUGUACCUUUAGAGUUUUAGUAACGAGAACUUCUGCUGGAUUCCCUCCAUAACCAAAAAUAGGUGGCAUUUUCACACGAUUGAAAUCUUUACAUUUCGUUUGGGAUAUAAGGGAUACCUGGGCAUCCGUAUCUACAAGAUAAUUAAUUGAAUUUAUUUUGUCUGUCAUUAAUAAAAAAUUUAAAGGUU